GCAUAUCAAUAAGCGGAGGAAAAGAAACCAACAGGGAUUGCCCUAGUAACGGCGAGUGAAGCGGCAACAGCUCAAAUUUGAAAUCUGGCUCUCGGGCCCGAGUUGUAAUUUGUAGAGGAUGCUUUUGGUGAGGUGCCUUCCGAGUUCCCUGGAACGGGACGCCAUAGAGGGUGAGAGCCCCGUCUGGUUGGACACCGAGCCUCUGUAAAGCUCCUUCGACGAGUCGAGUAGUUUGGGAAUGCUGCUCUAAAUGGGAGGUAUAUGUCUUCUAAAGCUAAAUAUUGGCCAGAGACCGAUAGCGCACAAGUAGAGUGAUCGAAAGAUGAAAAGCACUUUGAAAAGAGAGUUAAAAAGUACGUGAAAUUGUUGAAAGGGAAGCGCUUGUGACCAGACUUGGGCUUGGUUGAUCAUCCAGGGUUCUCCCUGGUGCACUCCUCCAGCUCAGGCCAGCAUCAGUUUGCUUCGGGGGAUAAAGGCGUCGGGAAUGUGGCUCCCUCCGGGGAGUGUUAUAGCCCGUCGUGUAAUACCCUGGGGCGGACUGAGGUUCGCGCAUCUGCAAGGAUGCUGGCGUAAUGGUCAUCAGCGACCCGUCUUGAAACACGGACCAAGGAGUCGUCUUCGUAUGCGAGUGUUCGGGUGUCAAACCCCUACGCGUAAUGAAAGUGAACGCAGGUGAGAGCUUCGGCGCAUCAUCGACCGAUCCUGAUGUUCUCGGAUGGAUUUGAGUAAGAGCAUACGGGGCCGGACCCGAAAGAAGGUGAACUAUGCCUGUAUAGGGUGAAGCCAGAGGAAACUCUGGUGGAGGCUCGCAGCGGUUCUGACGUGCAAAUCGAUCGUCAAAUAUGGGCAUGGGGGCGAAAGACUAAUCGAACCUUCUAGUAGCUGGUUUCCGCCAA
rnacentral:rRNA from 1 species